rnacentral:misc_RNA from 1 species
GAAAUGCGAUAAGUAAUGUGAAUUGCAGAAUUCAGUGAAUCAUCGAAUCUUUGAACGCACAUUGCGCCCCUUGGUAUUCCGAGGGGCAUGCCUGUUCGAGCGUCAUUGCACAAUCUCUCAAGCCUGGCUUGGUGUUGGGUCUUCGUCCCUCCCUCCCUUCUCCCUACUGUUCGGGUAGGGGGAAGAGGACCCGGACGUACCUAAAAAUUAGUGGCGGUGCCCCAUGUUGGUCUCAAGCGUAGCAGACUCUCUCUCGCUUUGGAUGACCUGUCAUGUUAGCUCACCAGCCCCUGCAUGUAUGCAUGCAUCUUUAACCAAUGUUUGACCUCGGAUCAGGUAGGGAUACCCGCUGAACUUAA